rnacentral:tmRNA from 1 species
UGGGCGUGGAAGAUUUGCGGACGCGGGUUCAAAUCCCGCCAGCUCCACCA